rnacentral:rRNA from 1 species
AAGUCGUAACAAGGUUUCCGUAGGUGAACCUGCGGAAGGAUCAUUAUCGAAUAAACUUGAACAGGCUGUUGCUGUCCCUUCACUGGGUAUGUGCACGCUUGCCAUCUUUAUUUUCUCCAACUGUGCACCUUUUGUAGACCUGAAAUGAUCUUUUUUGAAUCGAGUUGGGGACUGCUGUGCCAACCACCGGCUUUCCCUUGUAUUUUUUCAGGUUUAUGUCAUUUGUUUCACAAACCUAUGGAUUUGUUUUAGAAUGUUGAAUCAGGGUGCUUUUAUGUACCUUUAAUAUAUACAACUUUCAGCAACGGAUCUCUUGGCUCUCGCAUCGAUGAAGAACGCAGCGAAAUGCGAUAAGUAAUGUGAAUUGCAGAAUUCAGUGAAUCAUCGAAUCUUUGAACGCAUCUUGCGCUCCUUGGUAUUCCGAGGAGCAUGCCUGUUUGAGUGUCAUUUAAAUUCUCAACCACAUGCACAUUGCUGUGCCCUGUGGCUUGGAUAUUGGGGGGCAUUAUUUGCAGGCCUUGAAAAAGAGGUCUGCUCCCCUGAAAUGUAUUAGCGGUAUCUGCUACUACAGGUGUGAUAAUUUAUCUGUGCCUUUAGUAUUGUGCAAUGGUUAUGCUGCUUCUAAACAACAUG